CAGGUACUCCCUCCGUUCGGAAUUACUCGUCCAAGAAAUAAAUGUAUUUAGAUGUAUUUUAGUUAUAGAUACAUCCAUUUUUAUGACAAGUAAUUCCGAACGGAGGGAGUACCUG
rnacentral:pre_miRNA from 1 species